rnacentral:rRNA from 1 species
CCUACGGGAGGCAGCAGUGGGGAAUCUUGCGCAAUGGGCGAAAGCCUGACGCAGCAACGCCGCGUGCGGGAUGAAUGCCUUCGGGUUGUAAACCGCUUUCAGCAGGGACGAAAUUGACGGUACCUGCAGAAGAAGCCCCGGCCAACUACGUGCCAGCAGCCGCGGUAAU